rnacentral:rRNA from 1 species
UAGGGAAUCUUCCACAAUGGGCGAAAGCCUGAUUGGAGCAACGCCGCGUGUGUGAUGAAGGGUUUCGGCUCGUAAAACACUGUUGUAAGAGAAGAAUGACAUUGAGAGUAACUGUUCUUGUAUUGACGGUAUCUAACCAGAAAGCCACGGCUAACUACGUGCCAU